AACACAAAUGGAUGGGGAUUAGCAUUAGGGAGGAAUCAUGGUGUGAAGUAAAAAAAAAGCAAAGAGGAUGUCAGAGAAUAAAAAAAAAGAUGGGGGAGAUUCAGACAACAGGAAGAAAAAGAUGCUGAGAAAGACAGAAGAAAAGGAAGGGACAGUUACAGUGUCAGCUUUCUGUCAGAGAGAGAGACUGUGAAAGAACAGAAAGACGAAGAGACAGCCAGUACUGAUAGUCCUGUGUCAGCGUCCAGUCAGACCCCAGACCAAGGGCGACUUUGGGAACGUCGAUGGACGGACGCCAGCAAGGUCAACAGCCAUAACCUUCAGCCUCCUUUCCCGAUGUCUUCAUGAGCUUUUACCUCCCUCUUUAAUCGACCGAGGGGGAUUGUCAACGGAGAGAUGGGUGAUGAAGAUAACAUGGAGACUGUCGGGAAUUCAAGUGACAGGUGACAGACAGGCUUGUCUCAGACCUGAACAAUCAAUCACAAUCACCUUUUCAGUCUCCGCAUUUUUAACAUGAGUGAAGCUGUCGAUCAAAAACAUCCCUAAUCCACCACAGGCUGAGCUAUGUGACCUCCUGCGUGACCCCGCAUGUUGACUGAGUGACUGUCAAGGUAAUAGGUAGCUUCCAAUCCCAUCAGCUAAGAAGAAGCAGUUGUGUGACCCUCCGCCAAGAUUUAGGAGGUAAUUUAAGGAUUGAGGCAGGCAGGCAGGCGGUUACUCGGCUGCCGCCAUUGACAGAAGAGUUGUUAUCGACGCAGAAGGCACAGAUUGGAUGAGGGGAGAAUUCCUGACUGAAAGAGCUUCGGAGCACUUUGGAUUCAAAAAGGACCUCCAUCCUUCACAGCACAGCAUCUGGAGGGUUUGGCUUCACUGGACACGUAGCAAAGUACAUAGUUUUGUAAGUGCUCUGUUCUCGGGUUAGACGAGGACAGUCUCGGUGUAAAAGCCUGACGGGGGAAAAAAAAAACGAAAACAUGUAUAAAUGCAGAGCAGAGAUAUCCGUACAGACAUGCAGCCCUGCAGAGAUUUCUUCAGACUCUGCUUUUGUGGCGUAAAGGUUUAAAAGAUUUUUUUUUUUUUUGAAAAAGGUGUGUGAAUGACCGACCUGUCUGAAAUAAAUCCCACUGAAGGCG